CUACGGGGCGCUCCAGUGAGGAAUAUUGCACAAUGGGGGGAACCCUGAUGCAGCAACGCCGCGUGGAGGAUGACGCAUUUCGGUGUGUAAACUCCUUUUAUAUGUCAAGAAAAUGACGGUAGCAUAUGAAUAAGCACCGGCUAACUCCGUGCCAGCAGCCGCGGUAAUACGGAGGGUGCAAGCGUUACUCGGAAUCACUGGGCGUAAAGGACGCGUAGGCGGGUUGGAAAGUCAGGUGUGAAAUCCUACAGCUUAACUGUAGGACUGCACUUGAAACUUCUAAUCUAGAGUAUGGGAGGGGGAGAUGGAAUUAAUGGUGUAGGGGUAAAAUCCGUAGAUAUCACUAGGAAUACCUAAAGCGAAGGCGAUCUCCUGGAACAUUACUGACGCUAAGGCGUGAAAGCGUGGGGAGCAAACAGGAUUAGAUACCCGGGUAGUC
rnacentral:rRNA from 1 species